rnacentral:lncRNA from 1 species
UUUCAGAGGUAUUCAAGUGGUAAGAUGUUAACAGGAGAGUUGAAACAGGAAUUAAUUACCGUUCUGCAAAAGCUUGUUGGGGAGCACAGGAAGAGACGAGCAGACGUCACUGAUACCUUAGUGAAUGAAUACAUGAAAUCAAGGAAAUUGAAAUUUGACUAUUAAACAUACAUUUAAUGAUCAAUUUUCAUCAAAUUAACAGAACUCUUGUUUUAACAGAACACUGGUUAAUAUGAUUAUUGUAUAUUGUUAUUAAAAUAAAAAGACAUUUGUUUAGACCACAGCCAAAAUUAAUCAAUCUACAUUUAAUACAUUGAAACGGUGAGAUGAAUGUUGUAUUAUAUUUAAAUAUACCAUAUUUGAAUUUACAUCGGUAUAGUAAAAUAUGUUGUUCUGGUUGUCUCUCUUUUCUAAUAUUUGACUUUUUUCUGGUAUAGAUUAAGAUUUUAGUAAACUGCUUUCAUAAUUAUUUCCUCUGAACUUUAUAUACUAAACAAUAAUUGAAUGGAGUAUAUGAUGUAUAUGUAAUCUUUAUGAUUAAAUCAUUUUUCU